GGAGUUGUGGCUCAGCGGUAGGGCGCUCACCUAGCAUGUGUGAGGUCCUGGGUUCAAUCCUCAGUACCA
rnacentral:tRNA from 1 species